CAAGGAAGAGACAAAAGAAUGGGAGACAGGAGGAGACAGAGGAGAGGAGGAGACCGAGGAAGAGGAAGAGACGGAGGAGAUGGAGGCGGCAGAGCAGAGCGGAUCAGAUGCCUCUUGAUUGGCCACACAAUGGUCCACCUUUGCUUGGCCGCUAAGAACCCGUGCCUUGAAGCAGAACGGCUCCAGGAGGAGGCUGUUGUCUGGAGAGGGGCAAGGAAAGAACACAUGAGUAACAAGGACAACGCCGUGGUCAGACCGGACCGUGUUCCGGACAGCUCCCCACCGGGCCCUCACCGAGGUUCAGGACCAGCUCGCAGAGGGCCCCUGUGGCGGCCGAGUACACAGUGCGGUUCUUAGAGUUGAGGUGGUUGUCCACGAUGGCGGGCACCAGGUGGUUGAGCACCCCGGACAGGUUGUCCUUCAGCAGGCGCACCAUCCCCUGCAGGGCCUCCAGGGCGUACAGGUUCACCUUACGGUUGGACUCCAGCAGGCGGUCUCUGAAGAGGUCAAACACCUGGGGGAGCGGGGAGAAACGGGGAACAGGUGA